rnacentral:lncRNA from 1 species
ACAACUUCUGGGCAAGGCAGAGGUGGGUUUGGCUUUUUAAAAAUUUUUUCAGCCUGUCCUCAUGGAACUACAUAUUCUUUUCUAAGAACUUUUCAUCCUAACCUCCCUACUCACAUCUUCUAAGUGUCUCUGCUCUGGUGGGAAUGUGAUGGACAACACAGAGCCAUCUCAGAAGCCUCUGUGGCCACCACCAGGCCGGCCAGGGUGCAGGGGGCCACUCCCUGGGCAGCCAUAGGGUUCUCAGCAAGGUGCAUUCGUCGUCCCUGCUGAGAAUCUGAUGGGGCAGCAUUUUUUUUUUUAAUUAAAUGCAAGCUGAGUCAUUUCAACCUGCAACCUUCAGGUAACAGGAGUUACCCAAGCUCCAGGAAUUAUGAUUGUGGGGUAAACCCAUUCUCUUGUUUUCUUGCGGUUCUAUUUUAUAACGCACUAGAGGAGACAGAGACGUCAUUGCUUCACCCAGGGCAAGAGGACAAAGGAGGAUGCAUGGAAAUACAAACAGCCCUUCUCCUCCAGGCCAUACCGACUGUCCAACUAGCAACAGACUUCACCUGGUUUUGGAGCAAUCUGAAUUUGGAAUAUGCCAGAGAAAACUUCUAUCAGGCAAGAUGGAAGACUCCUAGGAUAGGUCUCUCUCAUGGAGGGAUUGGCACGAUGGUAAGAGUCCAGUGGAUGGAAAAGGCCUCCUCCUUAAAGAUGGUGAUGGAAACGAGCACUGCACAGGGAAACACAAAUCAGGUCCCCUGAAAUCCAGCCCAACCUGGCCAGACCCUCCAGUGCCCAUCAGGGCUUAUGAACAGGGUGCUUCAGUGUCUUUGUUAGGGGUGGUUAAAAAGGAGCACGUGCUUAUAGGGGAUGCUGCUGAGCUCCAUGAUUUUGACUUCCUGUCUAACCUGUUGAUGCUACAAAACUCUUUUAAAAACAGUUACCAUGGGAACUUUUCCCUAGCAAGCAUUCUUCAAGAAACGUUACAGGUGCUGGUGAAUUCAAUGCCCUUGGUGUCAAUAAGCUUUUGCUGAGUCUUAGAAUGUGUGGCUUGAACUGAGAGGACUUUCAAACAGAUAAUGCGAAGUUUCCAAUGCAAAUGUCUUCGGGGUUAAGUGUCAGUGAAGUGCAGUGGAAGGUAGGGGGAUAAAAUGAUCUCAGUGUAUAUGGAGGCCCCACUUAAGCAUUCAAAAAAUUCUAUAUACAGUGUUUUCAAUGUAUUAUGUAUCAGCAAAACAAAAUACCCCAUAGGGCUAUAAUCAGCUCAGGGGGUCACCUCAGCAAGAGAUGCUCUGGCUAUCACUCCUACUACGGGAUUUCCUCUCUCAUCAGAACCAGUAGGUGGUCAAAACCACAAUAAUGCAUAAAUGAAGGCAGGGAAUUGGGUAUCCAAUGUGAGCAACUGAAAAGGUGCCAUGUAUUAGCUAUUUGCCAUUAUGGUUCUGCAAGUGCUCAGAUGACUCAUAAAAUGACCAGAACAAA